AAAAGUCCAAUACCAAAAUCACAUUUCGUUGAACCAAAGUAAGCUCAUUUUGAACAGCAGAAACAUUGUUUAAUCAGAAUGAUGAAUCAGAAACAUCAUCCUAAUACCCCAAAAGUUGAAAGCAUUUAACUUCUAUACCUUUCCCUACAAUAAGGACAAUUCCCAUGUUCAGUCAAAGAACUCUUAGGGUUGCAGUGAAUUAAAUGACUACCCAAAAUGAACAAAUGGAAGAAGGAAUGAAAAAAAUGGGAACAAAUAUAUUUGCCACAAAUUCAUGUAUGCAUAUGUCUGUAACAAUCUACUAAUACUACAAUUGUGCACAUACUUCCAAU
rnacentral:lncRNA from 1 species